rnacentral:tRNA from 1 species
GGUAAAGUGGCUGAGUAUUAAGUGGUGGAUUGUAGCUCCAUGAACAGAGGUUCAAUUCCUCUCUUUACCA